GAUGAACGCUGGCGGCGUGCCUAAUACAUGCAAGUCGAGCGAACGGACGAGAAGCUUGCUUCUCUGAUGUUAGCGGCGGACGGGUGAGUAACACGUGGAUAACCUACCUAUAAGACUGGGAUAACUUCGGGAAACCGGAGCUAAUACCGGAUGAUAUUUUGAACCGCAUGGUUCAAAAGUGAAAGACGGUCUUGCUGUCACUUAUAGAUGGAUCCGCGCUGCAUUAGCUAGUUGGUAAGGUAACGGCUUACCAAGGCAACGAUGCAUAGCCGACCUGAGAGGGGGAUCGGCCACACGGGAACUGAGCCACGGUCCAGACUCCUACGGGAGGCAGCAGUAGGGAAUCUUCCGCAAUGGGCGAAAGCCUGACGGAGCAACGCCGCGUGAGUGAUGAAGGUCUUCGGAUCGUAAAACUCUGUUAUUAGGGAAGAACAUAUGUGUAAGUAACUGUGCACAUCUUGACGGUACCUAAUCAGAAAGCCACGGCUAACUACGUG
rnacentral:rRNA from 1 species